rnacentral:rRNA from 1 species
UACCUUCCUACUUGGAUACCUGUGGUAAUUCUAGAGCUAAUACAUGCUACAAACCCCAACUAAAGAAGGGGCGUAUUUAUUAGAUAAAAAACCAAUGCCCUCCGGGGCUCACUGGUGAUUCAUAAUAACUUAACGAAUCGCAUGGCCUUGCGCCGGCGAUGGUUCAUUCAAAUUUCUGCCCUAUCAACUUUCGAUGGUAGGAUAGUGGCCUACCAUGGUUUCUACGGGUAACGGGGAAUUAGGGUUCUAUUCCGGAGAGGGAGCCUGAGAAACGGCUACCACAUCCAAGGAAGGCAGCAGGCGCGCAAAUUACCCAAUCCCGACACGGGGAGGUAGUGACAAUAAAUACUGAUGGAGAGCUCUUUUGGGUUUUCUAGUUGGAAUGAGUACAAUUUAAAUUUCUUAACGAGGAACAAUUGGAGGGCAAGUCUGGUGCCAGCAGCCGCGGUAAUACCAGCUCCAAUAGCGUAUAUUAAAGUUGUUGCAGUUAAAAAGCUCGUAGUUGAAACUCAGGCCUGGCUGGCCGGUCCGCCUCACCGCGAGCACUGGUUCGGCCGGGCUUUUUCCUUCUGGGGAGCCGCAUGCCCUUCACUGGGUGCGUUGGGGAACCAGGACUUUUACUUUGAAAAAAUUAGAGUGUUCAAAGCAGGCAUAUGCUCGGAUACAUUAGCAUGGAAUAAUAGAAUAGGACGUGUGGUUCUAUUUUGUUGGUUUCUAGGACCGCCGUAAUGAUUAAUAGGGAUAGUCGGGGGCAUCAGUAUUCAAUUGUCAGAGGUGAAAUUCUUGGAUUUAUUGAAGACUAACUACUGCGAAAGCAUUUGCCAAGGAUGUUUUCAUUAAUCAGUGAACGAAAGUUAGGGGAUCGAAGACGAUCAGAUACCGUCGUAGUCUUAACCAUAAACUAUGCCGACUAGGGAUCGGACGGUGUUACUAUAUUGACCCGUCCGGCACCUUACGAGAAAUCAAAGUUUUUGGGUUCUGGGGGGAGUAUGGUCGCAAGGCUGAAACUUAAAGACAUUGACGGAAGGGCACCACCAGGCGUGGAGCCUGCGGCUUAAUUUGACUCAACACGGGGAAACUCACCAGGUCCAGACACAUUAAGGAUUGACAGAUUGAGCGUUCUUUCAUGAUCAUGUGGGUGGUGGU